CCAGAAGAUUGUUAUAUUCUGACCUUUCCAUGAAUAACACCUUCGAAUAUCAUGAACAACAUCAUCUUUGCGACUGAUUUCUGA
rnacentral:sRNA from 1 species